GAGUUUGAUUCUGGCUCAGGACGAACGCUGGCGGCGUGCUUAACACAUGCAAGUCGAACGGGAACCUUUAUUUCGGUAAAGGUGAGAGUGGCAAACGGGUGAGUAACACGUAGGCAACCUGCCGACAGGAUGGGGACAACAUUCCGAAAGGAAUGCUAAUACCGAAUGAAGUCACCGGAGGGCAUCCUCUGGUGAUGAAAGAUGGCCUCUGAACAUGCUAUCACCUGUCGAUGGGCCUGCGUCUGAUUAGCCAGUUGGUGAGGUAACGGCUCACCAAAGCGACGAUCAGUAGCCGGUCUGAGAGGAUGAACGGCCACAUUGGGACUGAGACACGGCCCAGACUCCUACGGGAGGCAGCAGUGGGGAAUCUUCCACAAUGGGCGAAAGCCUGAUGGAGCAACGCCGCGUGAGUGAAGAAGGUCUUCGGAUCGUAAAGCUCUGUUGCACGGGACGAAAACCGGGUUUGAAAACAUUGAACCCGGG
rnacentral:rRNA from 1 species